ACAAACAAAAGUGGCUGUAGUUUAGUGGUUAGAAUCC
rnacentral:sRNA from 1 species